rnacentral:lncRNA from 1 species
GGUCUUUUGUGCGCAGGGGCGAAGACCUUUUUUCAAAAUAUCAUUGACCUAUUUAUAGAAUCGUCCCUGAUUCGGUUAUUACAUGAUCGGCCACUACCUCCUAAAAUCUCGGACCACCUUCAGCUGAUCAAACCGCUCGCAACUGCUUGCGUUGCUGUAACUUCCUAUUGGCGCGACGGUUUUCUUCUUUACUUUUUCGGUGCUCCUGGUGCACUGUCAGAUUAAUACCUUUGAAAGCGAUUUCCAUCUACCAUCUGUCUGCGCCUAAUUGGCUCAACAAUUGCCCCCUCGGCAGCUUUCGAAGCAACGCUUCGAUAGCUGGCGUAAUCUGAGACGCGAUUACUCUUCGAAUCCUUGGUGUUGGUUUCAUCUCAGCCGUCCCUUUUUGCUGCCGAAAUCCUGUAAUUGUUUCGAUAACAAGCGCAAUCCGAGGCGUCAUCCUCGGUCAAAUCACAUUCAAAAAUCUCUGUACCAGUACCAGACGUAAUUCGAGGCGUGACCCUCUGUACGGUUCGAUCUUAGCCAUUUAUUUUCUUUCUUACGGUUCAAUCUCAAUUUUCGUUUUGUCUCAUUUGCGGCAUUAACUAGGUUAUCUUAAUUACCGCCGUCUACUCAUCAUUAAAGCCGACCUCGAAACUCGCUUCGAUGCGACGGUUCGAUACGACGGCCUUUCUUUUUCUCCAAGCUUUUAUCUUUUUAUCUCUUCUACUCCUCCUUUGUCUUCCAGGAAACUUUUCUUUCGCUUCCCUUUCCUUCAUCUUCUCCGAUUUUGUUUUCCACUUGACUUUUCCUCUUUUCCUUUUUCAACUAAU